AGGCCUCAAAUGCAUUUUACAUUGUCUACAUUCACCUGCUUAGGCAACCCAGUUAAGCUUUUCUGAAAAUCUUCUGACCAUUCACAUAUUUAUGAAGAUUUCCAGUGAUUGCUUUACUAAGUUAACAUGGAAAUUGCUGCACUCCAGAUUCCUAGACCUUUGUUUGAAUGCUCAUGUUUCAUUUAAUGAAGACAUUUGGUGAAUGUUCAGAAUUACCAUUGACUCAUAUUAAGUCCUUCUGAACAAUUCUAACAUCUUCAAUGUGUGUCCAAGAAACAGUAAAAAUGCUGAGUUCUUAUUGAGAAGAAAUUUGAAAACUGUCCUAAUAAUGAAUUAGUUAUAUGAUCUGUUGCUUCCACCAAAAGUGCCUAGUUAAUUCUCUUUUUAAAGUUUACUCUCACUUUAGUUGGAGAUGGUUUGUGUUUAUGAAACUGACUUCUCUAAAUCAUGUACUUGACGAAAAUAGAAAAGCACUUUUACCAUUCAAAUAAUUUCAAAAUAUAUUUCUACCUUAACAACAUUUUAAAAUAUCAUAAAAUGAAAUAUAAUCACAAUUCAAAAGAAAGUCUUGUUUUUGUUGAGGUUUUAUUUUUCUAAGAGAAGAACACAGUUGUAAAAUAUUUUGUAGGGUCUAACAGGCAUGGAAGUAGCAGUAUUCAGUGGUAAUUGCUAAUAGCUGAGAAUAAAUAUUUUUGCUAUCUUUCUUUUAUUUAUGCUUCUAUAUAAUUAAAAAUUCUGUCUGAUUGUUACAAAGAAUUGUCUUCCCAGAGCCCAGAGAUUUUGCACCUUGUACUCUGCUAUACCUAGGGACACCCAUUUUCUAGAAUAUCAUGCAUUGUCUCUUGAAAGACAUCAUUCUGGGAACAAUGGCAUCUAGCAGUAAAUGAUGCAAAACAUGAGUUCACAUGGUAAUUCAGCCACUGAAGGCUGUUUUUGUUACUUUGAAUUGCAGUUGCAGUACUGAAUGUUUUCAAUUCAUGAAAUUUUUGAGAAGCUGAGGUACUGCAGAAUUGCAUGAUGUAUCCCUUGUGCCCUCUUUCCCUUGAGCCUGGCUGAACAGUUCUACUAUCUGAACUGAAGCCUUUGAUUUAUUCACAAAGUAGGCAGCUCUCACAUUGAAUUAUUCUCUCUGGCCUGUAAUGCUUGCUUGU